AACGUGGGGAACCUGCCCCAUAGUCUGGGAUACCACUUGGAAACAGGUGCUAAUACCGGAUAAGAAAGCGGAUCGCAUGAUCAGCUUUUAAAAGGCGGCGUAAGCUGUCGCUAUGGGAUGGCCCCGCGGUGCAUUAGCUAGUUGGUAGGGUAAAGGCUUACCAAGGCGAUGAUGCAUAGCCGAGUUGAGAGACUGAUCGGCCACAUUGGGACUGAGACACGGCCCAAAACUCCUACGGGAGGCAGCAGAG
rnacentral:rRNA from 1 species